rnacentral:rRNA from 1 species
GGAAGGAUCAUUACCGAGUUGAUUCGGGCUCCGGCCCGAUCCUCCCACCCUUUGUGUACCUACCUCUGUUGCUUUGGCGGGCCGCGGUCCCCCGCGGCCGCCCCCCCUCCCCGGGGGGUGGCUAGUGCCCGCCAGAGGACCAUCAAACUCCAGUCAGUGAACGUCGCAGUCUGAAAAAACAUUCAAUAAACUAAAACUUUCAACAACGGAUCUCUUGGUUCUGGCAUCGAUGAAGAACGCAGCGAAAUGCGAUAAGUAAUGUGAAUUGCAGAAUUCAGUGAAUCAUCGAAUCUUUGAACGCACAUUGCGCCCCUUGGUAUUCCGAGGGGCAUGCCUGUUCGAGCGUCAUUACAACCCUCAAGCUCUGCUUGGUAUUGGGCACCGCCCUUCUUCGGGCGCGCCUCAAAGACCUCGGCGGUGGCUGUCUUGCCUCAAGCGUAGUAGAAUACACCUCGCUUCGGAGCGCAGGGCGUCGCCCGCCGGACGAACCUUCUGAACUUUUCUCAAGGUUGACCUCGGAU